rnacentral:rRNA from 1 species
AGCAGCCGCGGUAAUUCCAGCUCCAAUAGCGUAUAUUAAAGUUGUUGCAGUUAAAAAGCUCGUAGUUGAAUUUCGGGAUCAAUACGUCGGUCGUGCUUCGGUACGUACUGGCGUAAUUGAUUUCUCCCUUCUGACGAACCAUGAUGUCAUUAACUUGGUGUCAUGGGAAAUCAGGACUGUUACUUUGAAAAAAAUUAGAGUGUUUAAAGCAGGCUCACGCUUGAAUACAUUAGCAUGGAAUAAUGAAAUAGGACGUUCGAUCCUAUUUUGUUGGUUUUUAGGAUCAACGUAAUGAUUAAUAGGGAUAGUUGGGGGCAUUAGUAUCCAAUUGUCAGAGGUGAAAUUCUUGGAUUUAUUGAAGACUAACUACUGCGAAAGCAUUCGCCAAGGAUGUUUUCAUUAAUCAAGAACGAAAGUUAGGGGAUCGAAGACGAUCAGAUACCGUCGUAGUCUUAACCAUAAACUAUGCCGACUAGGGAUCGGAUGAUGUUAAUUUUUUAAUGACUCAUUCGGCGCCUUA